rnacentral:rRNA from 1 species
GUUAACUAGUUGGCGGUGGCCGAGGUAAGACGUGUGGUCGUAUUGUUCAUCGGAAUGACUGGGCGGAAAGCGCGCGGUGGCGGUGUUCUAAGUGUGAGGUGGAAUCCCCUGGCUUAACCUGGGAACUGCCUCCAAUACUGGCUGACUAGGUUACGGUAGAGGGUGGUGGAAUUUCCUGGGUAGCGGUGAAAUGCGUAGAUAUAGGAAGGAACACCAGUGGCGAAGGCGACCACCUGGACCGUUACUGACGCUGAGGUGCGAAAGCGUGGGGAGCAAACAGGAUUAGAUACCCGAGUAGUC